CCUGCUAGCUUCAGUUGCCUCUUCACUUCAGUGAAGAUUUCAGGAUCAUGCAAUUUCGAUGGAAGGAGAGGGGAGCUGAGAGAUGGGACUAUCAAGAAUGAUGGAGAUGAUUAAAUUGAUAGAGACGAGAAGGAUCUUGCAAGAAUAAUGAUGAAGUUGGAUCGUCACAACCACACAUGCAACCAGACAACGAACUCGUGCAAGCUCAAGUUCUUGGAGAACGAUGACAAUUUGAGCGGGUAAGUAGAGAGAGAUAAAGAAGAAGGGGCAGUCUUCUAGGUUGUAUGGGAUCAGUUUAUGAACUUUUUGUAUUAACUCUAUUUAAGUUAUCAUAAGGGUUAUUUGUAAACCAGUACACUUAAUAUAUUUGAUUUUGUUACGA